CACGAGGGUGGGGGAAAGGGCACGGGGAGAGACAAGGUCACCCCAUGAACUCCAGCAGAGUCAUGCACAGCCUCCCCUGGGCUUUUCCACAGCACGUUAUCCUUCUGAAACGCAUGGCUCAUUGUCACUUCUGUAGGAUCCUGUUGAGGGGCUUUGAGACAGCUAUGCUUGUCCCCAUUCUAUAGACAGAGCCCAGUGAGGUGGGGGCAACUCACGAGAGGCCACACACCUGCUAAGCCACCACCUCUCUGUCCCAAAGAAGUGAAAUCCCCCAGACAACGCCCUCCAGAGGCCCGGGGAAUGUACAGAAUCCCUGUAUGUCCAAAACAAAGACAAUGGUGCUGGGAACAGCAUUUGUCAAAGUGCUGCCACGGCUGCCUAAGCCCAAGUCACGCUCAACCUGUUGCUGUGUGUCUAUGGAGAGUUUUUACUGCUGGGAAUUCGAAUUCACAUUGUACUAUUUAAGUUCUAUAUCUAUUCUAUUAGCUGACUUUUGUAAAAAUGGGAUAUUUUUAAUAUGAUCUUUAAAAAAAAUGACUAACAAUACCACCUAAAUGUUAACACUGGCUAUGAUAGACAGAUUUUGUUUACUUCUUUGUACCUUUUUUUGUUUUUUUCCUAAGUUCUCUAUAACGGGAGUGUUACAUUUGGGAAGUUUCAAAAUGAAAAUAAUGACAUAGAUAUGCAUUUGUUGAAACUUAGUGUUCUCACCUGGGGGUGAUUUUGCCCUUUCCUGGAUGUGGGAUGGUGAGAAUUUGACAUGUGCUUGUUAUGACUGCAGGGAAAAUGCUACUGGCAUCCAGAGGGUAGAGACCAGGGAUGCUGCAAAAUGUCCUGCUGGGCACAGGACAGACCCCACCACAGAGAAUGAUCCAGUCCCAAGAGUCAAUGGUGCCGAAAUUAGGAAGCCCUGGUUUAAGCACAAUACUUGUUCAUUUACCAAACACAUGUGGAUUCCCUGUUCAAGUGCCGGACAUUCAACCAGACAUUCCACUGUGUCAGGAGGAGACACAGUGUUUCCCGGGAAUUACAGAGAGGUCCACAGGGAGUGGGAGCUUGUAUGCAGGUGACAGUGAGCACCAGAAUCUGUCCCCUGAAACAAAAGCUUAAGCCCAGUGGACAGCACCAGGGUGGACCCCAAAGUUUAUGCCAUAGUAUGUCUCUCUGACUCUAUUGUCCUUCCAAUGCAACUCACACACCAGAGAGCAGUUCAGCCACCCUGGAGAAGCUUCAUGGUAUACCCUUCCCCACCCGACUCCAUCAGAACCAGGCAUUAAGGGCCAAAUUAGAGGUAGGACGGAGGGGUGCCAACUCUGAAGGUCAGUGAGUCACACAAAGCAGGAACACUGUGCCUUCUCUCUGGACCAGGGCCAGAAGCUGGGCUCUGUUCGUGGUGGCAUCUGAGCAGUGCCAAGAGCUGGGGGCACUUUCCGAGCUGUGAAACAAGACUCUCGCAGGAUCAUUUGGUCAAAAAACCCGAGCUCCUUGUAUGAACUCAAAACAUUCUUUAGCUACCAGCUUGUUAUCACCCUGACCUCUGCUUCCAUGGUCACACCUCCUUCUCCGACUCCAGUCUCUUUCUACAGACCCUUGUGACAAUCUUGUGCCGCUCGGACAAUCCAAGAUAACCUGCCUCCCUAUGCUGUCCUGGGGGUUGGAACUCUGAUCAGCCCCCUUGUCCCAGAUGAGGACAAGGGAAGAUAGGAGAAGUAAGGCAGCUGGU